AAACUACAAGGGGAGCCGAAGCUCCCCCAGAAGUAGUUGCGUGCUCUAUUUUUAUUAUUGAUUUCGGGCUUCUUGUUUUUGUUGAUCGCCCUCGCCAUGAAGCUUCACCUUCAUGACACUCCCAAUCGAGAGUCAAGAGCAAACGGAUUGCUUUGGUCGCUGUGUUGCUGAUCUACGAUCCAACCAGUUCAGGCUCUGCCUUAGGGCAGUU
rnacentral:misc_RNA from 1 species